rnacentral:tRNA from 1 species
UGGGGUGUAGCCAAGCGGUAAGGCACGAGACUUUGACUCUCGCACUCGUAGGUUCAAAUCCUGCCACCCCAGCCA